UCUCCGUUGGUGAACCAGCGGAGGGAUCAUUAUCGAGUUUAUAACUCCCAAACCCUAUGUGAACUUACCACUUGUUGCUUCGGCGCGCGCUUCGGCGCCGCCGAGGACACUUAAACUCUUUGUUUUUAUAAGCAUUUCUGAGUGGCCGAAAGGCAAAAUACAAAUGAAUCAAAACUUUCAACAACGGAUCUCUUGGUUCUGGCAUCGAUGAAGACGCAGC
rnacentral:misc_RNA from 1 species